UCAUAAGAGAAAAAAAAAUUCUAACCUAAACCUAACUACGGAGAAGAAAAAAGAGACACUCGUUUGCGGCGUGUGUAGUCUUGGAGGUCUUAUGAAUAUGUUUGGCUGUCUUGCUUCUGCAUAAGAAACUGUGAAGAAAACUGUGAAGGAGUGGAAGAAAACUGUGAAGGAAUGAUUCACUUCAUCUCAGCUUAUUUUCACUGGAAUGAAAUUCUAUCACGCCUUUUGUUGGUUCAAUGGACUUUCUGCAGAGUGGUUUCUUAUAUCGUAAUGUCAAGGAAUAUGGCUUCGUCCAAACAUGUCGGGAAUGCGGUGCAACUCUCAGAGUUUUGGGGAGUGUUUGGAAAGGAGCAUGAACAUGUUAGUAGUUCAAGUUUUGAUGAAGUUCUAGCUUGCAAAGGUGCUUCACCCAUGAAACCAAUUGCGUCAGAGAAGAGGAAUUCUACCAAAAUAUCUAAGAAGACGGCGCGUGAAGAAUUAAAGGAAAUAUCUAAUGCAAAGAAUGGUGAUAGUGCUGGCAAAAAGAAGAGCUACAGAAGGCGUAAAAUUUGCCAAGAAAUUCCAAAUGAGGAAAAAGGGAACGCAAAUGAUGACACCAGAGCUUGUAGCAAAGUCGCUGAAAAGGAAACAAAGGUGUCCAUCCUUGACUGCUAGCAACGGAAGUAAUUCAUGGUUGAAAGCGCCGAAAGAUUUAAUAGCUGAAUCUGAUCAUAUAAUGAAGGAUUUUUCUUUGGAUUGGCUUGAAGAAGGUGCAAGUGGAUAUCACAACUUUGAUUUGUCUAGGAAGCUCACUUUGCUGAAUUUUCUUUGUGAUGAAGCUUUAGGCACGGAGUAAUAAUAUUGUGUUAAAGUAUUGGUGAACAUGCUUGACCAUUUUUGAUUGAGAGUUGAGAAAGUUCCCCGUUUUUUGUGUCCUUUGUAUAAAUGGAAGCAUUAUUGUGAUAUACAAUCAUGUAGUACGAUUGUAAAGUUGAUGAUAAUGCUAAAACUUGAAAAGAAUAUGAACUUGUAUCUUGUUGUAGUGAAUUAUAAAGUUAGAAGUUUAUUUUUUAUAGAAACAAGAGAAACAUAGGUUUUGAUGUAAUUACCAUUCUCAGUGAUCUUAUUCUUCAUUUAACUAGUUAGAUAUGGAUUGAAAUCAAUUGCAAAGUGAUACAUUCUAAAUAUUCUUAAGUA